rnacentral:rRNA from 1 species
UACAGAGGGUGCGAGCGUUGUCCGGAAUCACUGGGCGUAAAGGGCGCGUAGGUGGUGGCUUAAGCGUGCGGUGAAAGCUCGGAGCUCAACUCCGAGUCGGCCGUGCGAACUGGGCUCACUGGAGCAUAGUAGAGGCAGGUGGAAUUCCGGGUGUAGCGGUGGAAUGCGUAGAGAUCCGGAAGAACACCGGUGGCGAAGGCGGCCUGCUGGGCUAUGGCUGACACUGAGGAGCGAAAGCCAGGGGAGCAAACGGG